rnacentral:lncRNA from 1 species
CUCCGUCCAGGUACCAUGAGUCACCUGGCCAAGCGCACACAGCAAGUCGCUGGCAGAGGUGAGACCUCGGGUCUCCUCAGCCCAAUCUAGGGAGUCUGCCAUCCAACAGUCAUGCAUAAAGCGGCCCACUACGACCUGCAUCAUCUACCGCUGUUAAAUUACUUGUUUCCAAGCUUACCGUACUUUGUAUCAGAUGAUCAAUGCAUUUAAAAUCAGCAGAUACAGUGAGAUGUCUGCUUUCUAAUAAUAUAUAGCUUUAAUAAUAAUAGCGUUCAUGGUAGCUAUUUCUCAAACAAGAAACAUGACUUAUCGUAAGUUUCUAUGGCUGGACACAGUGGCUCACACCUUUAAUCCCAGCACUUUGGAAGGCCAAGGUGAUAUGGUUUGGCCUCGUCCCCACCCAAAUCUCAUCUUGAAUUGUAGUUCCCAUAAUCCCCACAUGUUGUGGGAGGGACUUGGUAGGAGGUAAUUGAAUCAUGAGGGCAGUUCCCCCAUGUUAUUCUCAUGACAGUGAAUAUGUUCUCACGAGAUCUGAUGGUUUUAUAAGGGGCUUCCCCCUUCACUUGUCAUUCUCUUCCAUACCACCCUGUGAAGAGCUGCCUUCCACCAUGAUUGUAAGUUUCCUGAGGCUUCCCCAGCCAUGCAGAACUGUGAGUCAAUAAAAUUCCUUACUUUUGGCUCAUUCAUUAUAAAUUACCCAGUCUUAGGUAUUUCUUCAUAGCAGUGUGAGAUUAGACUAAUACACAAGACAAGAGGAUUGCUUGAACUCAGGAGUUUGAGACCAGCCUAGACAACAAAGUUUCCACCUACACCUACACCUACACCUACACCUACACACACACACACACACACACACACACAAAAUGAGCCAGGCGUGCUGGCACCUUGUCCCAGUUGCUUGGGAGACUGAGGUGAGAGGAUCGCUUGAGCCCAGGAGUUCGAGGCUGCAGUGAGCCAAGAUCACACCACUGCACUCCAGCCUGGGCGACAGGGUGAGUCCCAGUCUCAAAAAUAAGUACAUUUCUAUAAAAUUUGAAAAAUAAAGGAGAAGAAUCUACCACUCUGGGUGAGGCCCUUAUUAAUAGUAGCCAGUACUAUAAACUCAGGUGUCUGUUUGCCUGACCUUUGCAGGAUUUCACAAAUGCACUAAGUCUGUUGUCAGGACUCCCAUGCCUGGACCUUGCCUGGAACCCCCUAGUCACUUGCCUGGCUCCCUUUCUGGAGCCCUGCCCAGAGGCAGCUGCUUUCUCACACCACCCUGUCCAGCUCUUCCCUCUCCCCCCAGCAGCAGCAGCUCCCACUCCUCCUCCCGCCCUUGUCCUUGGCCCUCCGCAUGGCAUCCACCAUGUGCCUCCAGUCACAGCGACGUCAGUCUUUCUAGACAGUAAGCUGUUUGUCUUUUACACUUGCUACAACAUCAAGCAUAGCACAGAGCCAACAGCUGGCCAAAUAUGUGAAGUGUUGUCAUUUUAGUUACUAUGCUAAAAAAAAAAAAAAAAAAAAAAA